rnacentral:rRNA from 1 species
CCUACGGGGGGCAGCAGUGAGGAAUAUUGGUCAAUGGGCGCGAGCCUGAACCAGCCAAGUCGCGUGAAGGAUGACUGCCCUACGGGUUGUAAACUUCUUUUAUAAAGGAGUAAAGUGAGGCACGUGUGCCUUUUUGUACGUACUUUAUGAAUAAGGAUCGGCUAACUCCGUGCCAGCAGCCGCGGUAAUACGGAGGAUCCGAGCGUUAUCCGGAUUUAUUGGGUUUAAAGGGUGCGUAGGUGGGUUGUUAAUGCAGUUGUGAAACCUUGCGGCUCAACCUUAAAAUUGCAAUUGAUACUGGUAGGCUUGAGGACAGGUGAGGCAGGCGGAAUUCGUGGUGUAGCGGUGAAAUGCUUAGAUAGCACGAAGAACACCGAUUGCGAAGGCAGCUUACUGAACUGCAACUGACGUUGAGGCUCGAAAGUGUGGGGAGCAAACAGGAUUAGAUACCCGAGUAGUC